rnacentral:snoRNA from 1 species
AACCUUCAGAUUCCUUAAUCCUCAGAUCUGAACAGGGGUCUGAGAGGCUGUAAAAGAAGGAAAAGCAAAACUGAAGUGGAUCCGGGUUUUUUAAUGAUAUACAAGUUCAUUUCAAACAAAG